rnacentral:rRNA from 1 species
GUUGACCUCGGAUCAGGUAGGGAUACCCGCUGAACUUAAGCAUAUCAAUAAGCGGAGGAAAAGAAACCAACAGGGAUUGCCCUAGUAAC